CAUUACAAAAAGCUUUUCACAAUAAUCCGCUUUCAUUGUUUCCAAAACCAUUUUCACAAUUUCUCCUUUGCAAUCAAAAUGUCAAUUGCUCCAGUAGCAACAAUGGAGUCUCAACGACGACGUUUCAUGAUCUCCCUGAAGAAACCACCGCUGAAAUCUUCUCAAGACUCUCUGUAAAAGACCUAAUCAAAUCAAGCUCAGUGAACAAAGCAUGGAAGAGCGUCUAUUUUAGGAACACGAGCAUCUGGAGCAGGAACACCAGCUCUGUUUCUAUUAGAACGAUCCUGCACGCAACGACACAACUCAAUCCUCUCUUCUCUGGUCUUGGCCGUAUCACGGAAUGCUUUUAAAGAGUUGCAACACUCAGCAGAUGGAUCCUGCUGUUCGCCCCUGUGAAAUGGAUCACAAAGUUGCUUUGUACGUUCUUGUAAUGUUGUUCCGCAGGUAAAAGCCUCCCCUUGCUCCACCAUCAGAAAAGCCGCCAAAAAUGUGGCAAAAACCAUCGUCAAGUACACAAUCUUCGCCAUUAUUUUCUCAGGUAUCUGUAGACUUCUUGGAAUGUGCUCUGUAGACAAAUUGUGCAGAAACAGAUUAUGCAGGGAGACGCAUUUAUAGGCAAGUCGGAGAAGCACUAGAACAAAAUUAACAAAUUUAACUAACAGUUAGGACACCUGGUCUGGUAAGUUCACAGAAAUGCCUAGGAACAAUUUGAUGCUUGCAUCUCUAUUAAUAUGUUUAAUUGUGUGGUUACAUGUUAGGCUUCAUCUGAAAAACUACAAAUUUUAAUCUGGUAUGUAAAUUAGUUGCCUAA